ensembl:lncRNA
UUUUGCAAGAGAAAUGUGUGAUUUUUGUUUAAAUGGGGUAUUUUUGAAGAGAUAAUGCAUGAUUUUGGGGUAAAUGCGGGAUUUUCCAAGAGAAAAGGCGAGAUUUUGGGGUUGAAUGGGGGACUUUGCAAGAGAAAUUGUGCGAUUUUGGGGAUAAAAGGGGGAUUUUUGAAGAGAAAAUGUGUGAUUUUGGGGAUGAAUCAGGGAUUCUCAAAGAGAAAAUGCCUCAUUUUCGGGUUAAAUGGGGGACUUUGGAAGAGAAAUUGCAUUUUCUUCUUGUCAAAUGGGGGAUUUUCGAAGAGCAACUGCAUGAUUUUCGUUUACAUGUGAGAUUUUUGUAGAGGAAAUGCGUGAUUUUUUGGAAACAUGGGGGACUCUUGUAGCAAAAAAGUUUGAUUUUGGGGUCAAACGGGGGAUUUUUGAAGAGCAGAAGUGUGAUUUUCACGUUAAAUGGGGGAUUUUCCACAGAAAAUGUGUGAAUUUGUGGAUAAUGGGGUAUUUUUGAAGAGAUAAUGCAUGAUUUUGGGGUAAAUGCAGGAUUUUCCAAGAGAAAUGGCGAGAUUUUCGGGUUGAAUGGGGGACUUUGCAAGAGAAAUUGUGUGAUUUUGGGGAUAAAAGGGGGAUUUUGAAGAGAAAAUGUGUGAUUUUUGUUUAAAUGGGGUAUUUUUGAAGAGAUAAUGCAUGAUUUUGGGGUUAAAUGGGGGAUUGUUGAAGAGACAGUGCAUGAUUUUCGGGUUAAGGGGUGAUUCUAGCAGAGAAAACGCGUGAUUUUCGGGGUUAAACAGCUAUUUUUGAAGAGAAUGUGCGUGAUUUUCAGUUUAAAUCAGGGAUUCUCAUAGAGAAAAUGUGUGAGUUUUGUUUAAAGGGGGUAUUUUUGAAGGGAAAAUGCGUGAUUUUUGGGUUAAAUUGGGGCUUUUUCAAGAGAAAAUGUGUGAUUUUCAGUUAAAUUGCGGAAUCUCUAAGAGAAAAUGCCUGA